AAACGAACGAACAUCAUUGUAUACCAGCACCAUGCGUCUCACCUAGGGCUUUCCAAAUGAAAGCUAUUCAUCUCGAAGCUCAUGUCAGUGAAUGCUCUCAUUCCUAUGGCAUCUCGAAGCUUUUCUUUGAGAUAAACAGUAUCAGAAGAAUCGAUGGGAAUUCCGUAACCCUGAAUAAAUGUUAAGCACUGCUCUCUAGUUAGGUUAUCUAUAUCUUCGAUCGUCCGCAAAGGAGGCAAAUCGGCCUGGGGUAAACUGCCAUUUAGAAAAGGCACGACGAUGGCCGGAUAACCAGUUGCUCUCCUUCUCAUGUUUUGGGACCGCUUUAAAUCCAUGUCUGAUUUAAAAGAACGAGCAUCUAAAUUCUCUAGAAAUUGUUUAAUAUCAUACAAAUCACUUGGAAUGCGUGGCAGAUUAGAAGAUGGUGACAGGGUAUUUCUUUGAUGGAUGGAAAAGACACUGUUUUCCCCACUCAACGCUCUUUUCAGCUUACUCGGUUUAUUGGAAUAAUUUGGGUUAUUUUCUAUUAUCCUUUCAGUUGUUGUAUUAUCGCUUUGAGGAAGGCGUUUGAUUUGGUUUUCUUCGCUUAGAAUUUGGGCCAAUCUGCUAUGUCCACAGUCUUGAGAUGAUUCAUAAAGCUCAUUCUCUUUUACAAAGCUCCUAGCUUGAUAAUUUUUAGGAUCUUGAUUAUCCGUAUUAAGGGCUUGCCCAUGAUAAUCGGUAUCAACAUGAGACUCAUGUCUUGCAAGCCCUGCGUAAGAAACGUCAACUGGUUUUUUGCGAGAAACAGCUUUUGCUUUGACUAUAUUCUCUUCUGUUGAGAGCAUGUUUGUAUUUGAUUCACCCUUAUUUGCCAUCCGUUUGGCCUUAUCAAUUUUUUUUCCCAAUAAAUACACAUUUUCAAUUUUUUGCCAAUUUUCUUUUUUCAUCUUGAAAAGUUGCUCGAAAAUAGUAAAGACAAUCAAUAAUAUUAUUCCCUUAAAGGGGAACUACUUCCAUACAGAAAAGAUGUUGUACUGGAUCAUUUAUAAACUCCCAUGACAUGUAAACAGAUGUGAAUCCCUGACAAUUGAGAGCCAUGUUUUAAACCGUUAAAAUUUUUAACGCGCUUUACCGAUGUUUUAUAUGCUCUAAAUUGUAUGUACAAAGAAUGAAAUAUCUUGUGAACAUAAAGGUUAUUUAAGAA